ACCCGCUGAACUUAAGCAUAUCAAUAAGCGGAGGAAAAGAAACCAACAGGGAUUGCCCCAGUAACGGCGAGUGAAGCGGCAAGAGCUCAAAUUUGAAAGCUGGCCCCCUCGGGGUCCGCAUUGUAAUUUGCAGAGGAUGCUUCGGGAGUGGCCCCCAUCUAAGUGCUCUGGAACGGGCCGUCAUAGAGGGUGAGAAUCCCGUAUGGGAUGGGGUGUCCGCGACCAUGUGAAGCUCCUUCAACGAGUCGAGUUGUUUGGGAAUGCAGCUCUAAAUGGGUGGUAAAUUUCAUCUAAAGCUAAAUAUUGGCCGGAGACCGAUAGCGCACAAGUAGAGUGAUCGAAAGAUGAAAAGCACUUUGAAAAGAGAGUUAAAAAGCACGUGAAAUUGUUGAAAGGGAAGCGCUUGCGACCAGACUCGCCUGCGGGGUUCAGCCGGUAUUCGUACCGGUGUACUUCCCCGUGGGCGGGCCAGCGUCGGUUUGGGCGGCCGGUCAAAGGCCCUCGGAAUGUAACGCCUCUCGGGGCGUCUUAUAGCCGAGGGUGCCAUGCGGCCAGCCCGGACCGAGGAACGCGCUUCGGCACGGACGCUGGCAUAAUGGUCGUAAGCGACCCGUCUUGAAACACGG
rnacentral:rRNA from 1 species